rnacentral:tmRNA from 1 species
GCACUGUCUUUUCCGACUUCAGCCCCCUAUAUUGCAGGUGCCGGUUCGCCGGCUAUGGAAAUAAAUUGCCGUCGCAAUAAACCAUUCGGACCCGGGGGCGGUACCCGGCGCCUCCACCAAAGCCCGUCGACCCCGGCGGGUUUUGGCGGGGGCGAAACAGGAUCGACGAGGGCGUAAAGGGCGCGCUUUUUCCCGGUAUUGUUCCGCCGUUAUCGGGCUACUGCAAUAGUUGCCAACGACAACUAUGCUCCGGUUGCUCAGGCUGCGUAACGCAGUUUGAA